rnacentral:lncRNA from 10 species
CUGAUGCCAUUUUCAGCCUCAGCACGCCUGCACCCAGGCGCUCAUUAAAACAGCAUGUUGCUCCCCACUGCCUCGUGUUGUCUGUUGGCGCGCUGUCGGGGUUCGAACCGAUACAAGAACCUUCCACCUACCUGGUGCUUUGGCCUCAUCUAUAAGGUUUUCCACUGUCCUGAAACAAGAUAGAGAAUCUGAGGGGCCAGUCAUCUGCCCUAAGUGCUGCCGCCGAAGACUGAAUGUCCUGGAAAGUUUGCUGUCACAUCUCCAUUAUGACAAAAGCAUUGUGCCGAACAGAUGAAAAAAUGCAUUGUCAACGGAAUCUUUUAUGUUUGUUUGUCUUCCUUUAAGCAACAUUGCCUUACUUGUUAUAAAAGAUAAAUAAAUAUUUGUUCAUUUCAAU